GCCUUCGGAUCAUCAGAUCCGGGCCGCACGACGUCUGUAAUGGCGGCCGGAGCAAAGCGAGACGCAGGCGUCGGUCUUCCCCACGGCGCCCGCCGUCGACCAAAGCAGAAAGGGAAGGGCUAGGGUUUUGAGAGGCAAUGGAAGGUGGUGGAGACUGGGGAAGAACAAAGAGGAGAUUGAGAGAGAGGGGAAGAGGUUCAUCGCUACUAUCCUCCGGAAAUGCAGUUAUAAGGGAGGUAAUAGAACAGCAGCAGCACCAAAUUUGCUAUUAUCAUGUGAUUUUGUAACUGGUGCAAACCUUGAGUCAGACCAAGUGCCAGGAAAUGCUAUCAGUAUCUCACUACAUAAUGUAGUAGGACCAAACAUGAACUCUGAAGAUACCAAGUCCCUUCUUGUUGGUUUUGUCAGUCAAGAUGGAAUGCAGUUCAAGACUCUCCUCUGGGUUCUAUGGAUUGUUAUCGAGGGCAAUACCAUUGAAAUUUAGGUGCUGGGUAUGCCCAAGCUUGUAGUGUAUGUUCUAUCCACAGUGAACUCAUCCAUUGUGGAGUCCAAACAAAGCAUGUGGUAGAAAGCUAAUCACUGAAAGUCAUUUCAAUAUCCAAGACUGAAAAUCACAAACCAAGAAAAGUCACUGUUGCAAUGAUUAAAGUGUCGAAAAGCCAACCUAUUUUACUGAUUAAACACAGCAAUGAUAAAUGGAGAUGGUGAAUAAUCAGGGACCUCUUUUACUUGCCAUAUGGGACAGUGGAAACAAUGUUAUACACACUGAUACCAUCUUAGCAAAGGUGGAUAUGGGCGAAUAUGCAAUGAAAGCAAACAGAGUAUCAUAUCAGAUGAGAUGCCUAAGGCCAUUGCAGUUGCACAUGGUGGAAAUGAUGGGGGACAGUUUGCUUACGAAGUAAUCAAGCAGAAUUUUUUGCGACCAAAGAGAAGUGGCCUUGACCAAAUCCUGUUGAAGAGGAAGGACAGAUUCAAAGUAAAAAAGGUAUACAACUUUUCCAUACUAGUUUAUAAAAUUAAUUCUUGUCAAUCCUGAUGCUCAACAGAGCUCGUACAGGAAAACUAGGAAGAGGCACGGAUGAAGGAAAACACUCAUAUCAGGAAGCAUUAUAGGUCAACUUAACUGUAAAAGAAGCAGUAGGAUUAGCUAUGAUUGUUAAAUUUUGAGAUAUUUUCUAUAAAGGCAUAUGUAGCUCAGUUCUAAAAUUGGAUCUCCUCACCAGUGAAAUAUCAGAGCAGGAAGAGACUUGCAGAACUAUGUCCCCGAGCGAAGGGACAAUUCAUUCAUCAAGUGCAAUCUAUUCUGUGACCUCAAGGCAAGUGGUGUGAAUUAUUUUCUUCACCAUUGAAUUUUUAGCAGCCGGUUUCUUUUAUUUGCUGUAAAUUGUAUCCGAAUGUUGUAAUUGUCUUGCCCAUACUUCUUGGCUAUUCUCUCUCAAGUAAAGGCUAAAAUUGCUAAGAUAUCAA